ACAAGUGUGUGAAAAGUGACCAGCAUCGCUACUCAUUGGGGAAAUGAAAAUUUGAACCACUCUAAGGUCUUGCUUCACCUGAGAGUUUGACAAAGCAGCUCUCAGAGGCUGCCCUGCACUCCGCUACAGGAAAGGAAGAGUGAAAAAAGCAGCCGGCCGAGGAUCCAGGACAAAGUGUCUCCUGAGUUUCACAUGAACCCUAACAAUAGCUAAUAAAGCAUUCAUAGAAGUGAACUAUGCUUGUGAACAAAGCCAUCUUCAAGUGGUCUUGGGAGCCCCUGAAUUCUGCAGGUGCUGCAGAAUUGAGG